UACGAAGGGGGCUAGCGUUGCUCGGAAUCACUGGGCGUAAAGCGCACGUAGGCGGAUUGUUAAGUCAGGGGUGAAAUCCUGGAGCUCAACUCCAGAACUGCCUUUGAUACUGGCGAUCUCGAGUCCGGGAGAGGUGAGUGGAACUGCGAGUGUAGAGGUGAAAUUCGUAGAUAUUCGCAAGAACACCAGUGGCGAAGGCGGCUCACUGGCCCGGUACUGACGCUGAGGUGCGAAAGCGUGGGGAGCAAACAGGAUUAAGAAACCC
rnacentral:rRNA from 1 species